CAUAUUAAAGUUUAUUAUUGAAUUUUUCUGUUACAAUGAAGGGGGCUCUUUAUUUGAGUAAUAUGAAAA
rnacentral:tRNA from 3 species